CCCAACUAUCCCUAUUAAUCAUUACGGUGAUUCAGAAACCAACAAAACAGGACCACCGUCCUAUUUUAUUAUUCCAUGCUAAUGUAUUCAGACAUAAGCCUGCUUUGAACACUCUAAUUUUUUCAAGGUAAAGGUCCUGGUUUCCUACCACGCUAAAUUAAUAACAUGAUAGUUCCCCAGAAGGUAGAAAUUCUACACGCCAGUACAGACAAUAGCCCGACCAACGAUAGAACCCCGAAAUUCAACUACGAGCUUUUUAACUGCAACAACUUUAAUAUACGCUAUUGGAGCUGGAAUUACCGCGGCUGCUGGCACCAGACUUGCCCUCCAA
rnacentral:misc_RNA from 2 species